GAUGAACGCUAGCUACAGGCUUAACACAUGCAAGUCGAGGGGCAUCAUGGGAGUUGCUUGCAACUUCUGAUGGCGACCGGCGCACGGGUGAGUAACGCGUAUCCAACCUUCCCCGUAGUAGGGCACAGCCCGGCGAAAGUCGGAUUAAUUCCCUAUGUUCUCCAAUGCAGACAUCUAAGUUGGAGCAAAGAUUCAUCGCUAUGGGAUGGGGAUGCGUCUGAUUAGGUUGUCGGCGGGGUAACGGCCCACCGAGCCUGCGAUCAGUAGGGGUUCUGAGAGGAAGGUCCCCCACAUUGGAACUGAGACACGGUCCAAACUCC
rnacentral:rRNA from 1 species